UUUUCCGGAUACCGGGGCGGGGCGGGCGCGCCAGCCGCACGCAGAAGGGGAAAACCACGCGGGCCGCGCUUUUAAAAAUAUGCGGUGGACCUGGGAGGUUGCGUAAGGGCACGCCGUGUUUUUGUCUUUGUCUUUGCGAGAAAGCAGAACGCGGUGCCGAACCCGCGCGCGGCUCGGGGACGCGGCGUUCCACCUGGCUCCCAUGGAAACAGCGCCCCGAAUCCGCGGCGGCCCCCAGGUGACGACAGCACAGCCCUUUUUUUUGGUCAAAUCUGGCAGUCCUUCCCCUUCCACUCCAUAUGCCUGGACCAAGCUAGAAGUGGGGCCCACACAGGAAGGGCUGAGGACUGGAGGAGUAACUUCAACCCUGACCAGUACAUUUCAGCUGUCCAGGCAACACCAGAUAUGGUGCCCUGGUCUGGGCUGGAGCCCGCAGUUCUGCUGUGGGAAGGCUGACUCAGAAAGCAUGAGUUGGUGAUUUCCCCCUUGUGCCACAGUACUCCAUUUGGACUCUUAGUCAUCGAGGGAAACCUGAAAACCACCGGGUGUCGGGGACAGAUGCACUGACGUCUCCUCCGGGAACACCCUGCUGCUGUCCUGGAGACUGAGAAAGUCCCAGGCUCUGUUCCCAUCAGGGCUGCAUCCACUUCCUUGUGGCGGUUUGCUGCAUGGUCUAGACGGCUUCAGCCACUGCAGGGGAGCCGGGUGCUGGCGGAGCCAGAGGGACCAGGCUCUCCUGCAGGGGGUGGGGAGAGGGGAGGGCACAGGGGAAGCCAGGAAACCCUGCUGUUCCCCUUCUGCUGCCUGGGGUGGGGCAGACCUGUGCCCUGCCUGCCUUUCCUGGCCCCAGACUCUGGGCAGUCUGUCACUCGGUUGUAGGCUGCCCACUGCUUCCAGCGCGAACCGACCUUGGGAAAGCACAUUUAAACACAGCUACUCAAAAUUGCCACUCCACGGGGCUAGUAUUCUUUUGAUCGAGUUCCAAAUGAGGAAACCGAGGCGCACUGAGUGGCUAAGUGGCAUGUCUGAGAUCACAGGGCCUGUGAGUGGCAAAGGCGGGCAAUCUCUGACUUCGUGCUCACCUUUCUUUUUUAAUAAGAACUGCCGCUGCUCGGAGAGUCCAUGAGAGUUACUGGGCUUGAGUUUUUGAGACUUAAAUUCUCAUUCUUCAAAUAAGUGUCUAUAGUGUGUCCAGUUCUGCGUGAGAAUUCAGAGAUGGAUGUGACACCGUCCCCAGCCUUAGGGAGUUCCUGGUCUGCGGAGGGGACAGAUGAGUAAAGGUGCAUUUACCUGCCGGUGGGUGCUGUGGGGGUGAAGCCGCAUGACCCCACCCUGCCCCAUGGUCUGAGAAUGUUAACGGAAAGAGUGUCCAGGCUCAGCCCCGACGGGGCAGUAGCCCAGCUAGAUACAGACCAAGGAGAGUUACCCGUGGGAGAAUCGGAACACAAAUAUCAGGACCAUUUCCUCAAUAAAACCCAAGUAGAAAAGAUGAUAAUACAUCUGAACUGUAAUAAAGAUAAUUCCAAUUACUUAUGCUUAUUAAGUGUCACGUCUUCUUGGUGGAUUGACCCAUUCAUCAUCAUGGAAAAUGUCCCUCUUUAACCCAGGAAGAAUUCUUUGUCCUGUAGUUUGCUGUUAAUACAGCUGCUCAUCGUGCUGUUGGUUAGUGUUUGCGUGGUGUGUUUUUUCUAUCCUUGUACUUCUAACCUGUGUUUUUAUGUUUAAAGUGGAUUUCUUACAGUCAGGCUUGCUUUUUCUUUUUGACCAGCGUGACUGUGUCUUUUAAUUAGAGUGUUUAGGCCAUUUAUAUUUAAUGUCAUUAUUAACUGUCUUCACACAAGAACCAAAAGCCCCUUGUCCCUCCUUAUUCCCCAGAGGCGCAAAGAGGUGGGGGGAGAAGUGAGAGGGAAAGGCUUGUUCUUCCAGUCUGUUUUGAGCGGAGAGAGUCUGGGUUUAAGUUGGGCCUGUUCUUUCUAGAGAUUUCCUGGGUAGAUUGUUCCGCCCUCCCCAUCCCUCACGCUGCAUCCUAGCAUGUAGGGUCUUGGCUGUUCCUUUCCGACCCCUUCCUGGCCUGAAAAAGCGCAGACUUCACCGUGACCCCUUAUGACGACGGGGAGGGUGUCAGCUGACAUGGGGUUUGCUCACGUCGGACACAUCGUGUCCAGGGGGCCCUUGCGGUGGGAAGGGAGCGUGAGGAAGCCCUGGUCAAGCCCCAGAACACCAGAAAAUUUCUAACCCCCACCUCACCCUAAAAUGUACGGUUUGACACAUCCUGUGGAAGAGGUUGGCCCUCCACCUGGGAAGGUGAGCAUCUGCUUCUGUGUCUCUGCCAUCCAGGUGAACCAGAGAGAUUCCCCCAGGUAAGCAUCUGAAUGCCCUGUUGGCGGCAUUGUCACUGGGCAGACCUCAGGGUUCCACCGCUAGGUUCCCAGAUCUGUAUCGAGAUCCGGUGGUCCGUAGGAACGGGCUCCUUCCUGGUCGGGAGCCAGGAGAGGCCAGCACCCUAAACUGGAGCGUAAGGCUGAGGGUUUUGGUGACGGCCACCGGGAUGUGGCCUCGGGUUGCCUUGUUAGAUGUUAAGACAUAGGCGGGUUCUUUUUUGUUUUGUUUUGAGACAGAGUCUCACUGUGUUGCCUGGGCUAGAGUGCC